rnacentral:rRNA from 1 species
UACGGAGGGUGCAAGCGUUGUCCGGAUUUAUUGGGUUUAAAGGGUGCGUAGGUGGCCCUGUAAGUCAGUGGUGAAAUAUCUCAGCUUAACUGAGAGGGUGCCAUUGAUACUGCAGGGCUUGAGUACAGAUGAGGUAGGCGGAAUUGACGGUGUAGCGGUGAAAUGCGCAGAUAUCAGGAAGAACACCUAUGGCGAAGGCAGCACUCUGGGACGGUACUGACGCUGAGACGCGAAAGCGUGGGGAGCGAACAGG